UGGGGAAUUUUGGACAAUGGGCGAAAGCCUGAUCCAGCAAUGCCGCGUGUGUGAAGAAGGCCUUCGGGUUGUAAAGCACUUUUGUCCGGAAAGAAAUCCUUGGCUCUAAUACAGUCGGGGGAUGACGGUACCGGAAGAAUAAGCACCGGCUAACUACGUGCCAGCAGCCGCGGUAAUACGUAGGGUGCAAGCGUUAAUCGGAAUUACUGGGCGUAAAGCGUGCGCAGGCGGUUUUGUAAGACGGAUGUGAAAUCCCCGGGCUUAACCUGGGAACUGCAUUCGUGACUGCAAGGCUAGAGUAUGGCAGAGGGGGGUAGAAUUCCACGUGUAGCAGUGAAAUGCGUAGAGAUGUGGAGGAAUACCGAUGGCGAAGGCAGCCCCCUGGGCCAAUACUGACGCUCAUGCACGAAAGCGUGGGGAGCAAACAGGAUUAGAUACCCUGGUAGUCCACGCCCUAAACGAUGUCAACUAGUUGUUGGGGAUUCAUUUCCUUAGUAACGUAGCUAACGCGUGAAGUUGACCGCCUGGGGAGUACGGUCGCAAGAUUAAAACUCAAUGAAUUGACGGGGUCAUAGCUGUUUCC
rnacentral:rRNA from 1 species